rnacentral:rRNA from 1 species
UACGUAGGGGGCAAGCGUUGUCCGGAUUUAUUGGGCGUAAAGAGCGUGUAGGCGGCCUUACAGGUCAGCUGUGAAAACUCGAGGCUCAACCUCGAGACGUCGGUUGAAACCGUAAGGCUAGAGUCCGGAAGAGGAGAGUGGAAUUCCCGGUGUAGCGGUGAAUGCGCAGAUAUCGGGAAGAACACCCGUGGCGAAGGCGGCUCUCUGGGACGGUACUGACGCUGAGACGCGAAAGCGUGGGAGCGAACAGG